CCCACCCUUAUCUCCCUUCACUGACUCUCUUUUCGGACUCAGCCCAACCGCAUCCAGGUUAUAGCUCCAAUCUGUGCAAUGCACUUUGAAAAUGGAGAAAGGGAACACGUCAAGGAAUACAGGAAGCCACUAGAAGCUGGAAAAAAACCAGGAGACAGAUUCUCCUCCCAGAUCAUCCAGAAGGAACCAACCCUGCUAAAACCUUGACUUUAGCUCAGUACAAAGGAUUUCAGACUUACAGCCUCCAUAAGGGUCCAUACUGCCUUUAUGAGCUGUAACACUCACCGUGAAAGUCUGCAGCUUUACUCCUGAAGCCAGCAAGAUGUAACACUCACCACAAAGGCAUGUAGCUUCACUCCUGAGCCAGCAAGACCACGAACCCACCAGAAAGAAGAAACUCUGAACACAUCUGAACAUCAGAAAGAACAAACUCCAGACAUACCACCUUUAAGAACUGUAAGACUCACUGCGAAGGUCUGCGGCUUCAUUCUUGAAGUCAGUGAGACCAAGAACCCACCAAUUCCAGACACAGUAUUUUUUUUUUAAGUUUUUACCUUCUAUUUUGUGACAUCUAUACACAACUUUAAGGAGUAAUUAUAUCGAAAGUAUACCUGUACCCCAUUUUUAUUGCAGCACUAAAUUGACAAUAACAAAGAUAUGGAAUCAACCUAAGUGUCCAUUAACAAAUGAGUGGGUAAAGAAAAUGUGUAUGUACACAAUAGAGUAUCAUUCAGUCAUAAAAAGAAUAAAAAUCUUCCAUUUGCAGCGACAUGAAUGGAAUUAAAGGUCUUUAUGGUCAGUGAGAUAAGCCAGGCCAGAAAGACAAAGAUUGCAUGUUUUCACUCAUAUGGGAGCUAGAAAAGUUGAACUCAUGGAGGUAGAGAAGGUAGAUGGUUGUUUUUUGUUGUUUUUUUAACUGUUGAGUUGUUUGAAUUUCUUCUAUAUUCUGGAUAUUAGUCCCUUGUUUGCAAAUAUUUUUUCCAUUCUAAAGAUUUUUUUCUUCACUCUGUUGAUUGUUUCUUUUGCUGUAGAGAAUAUUUUUUGUUUAAUAUAGUCUAGUUUGUGCCACUUGUCUGUCUUUCCUUUUGUUGUUUUGUGUUUUUGAAGUUUUAGCAAUAAAAUCCUUGCCUAGAGCAAUAUCCUGAAGCAUUUCCUCUACAUUUCCUUGAAGAUGUUUUAUAGCUUUGGGUCUUAUAUUUAAGUCUUUAAUACAUUUUGUGUUGAUUUUUGUAUAUGGUAAGAAAAUUGGGUCUAGUUUUAUUCUUCUGUGUAUGGGACAUCCAGUUUCACCAUUAUUUCACCAUUACCAUUUAUUGAAGGGUGCCAUAUCCACAGUGUAUGUUCUUGGCACCUUUGUCAAAAAUCAGUUGGCUGUAACUAUGUGGGUUUAUUUCUAGAUUCUCUAUUCUGUUCCAUUGGCCUAUGUGUCUGUUUUUUAUAAUAAUACCAUCCUGUUUUGACUACUAUAGCUUUGUAUUAUAAUUUGAAGUCAAGUAGUGUGGUGCCUCAGCUCUGUUCUUUUCACUCAAGAUUGCUUUGGUUUUGUGGUGCCUUUAGCAGUGCCACAGGAAUUUUAGAAUUUUUUCUCUAUCUAUCUCUCUGAAGAAUGUUAUUUAGGGAUUACAUUGGAUCUGUAGAUUGAAUUGGAUAGUAAUGUCAUAGUAACAGUAUUAAGCCUUGGGAUGUAUUUCCAUUUGUGUCCUCUUCAUUUCUUUUGUGGUUUUCUUUGAAGAGGUCUUUACCUCCAUGGUUACAUUUAUUUCUAGGGUAGUUAUC
rnacentral:lncRNA from 1 species